GGCCCGGUAGUCUAGCGGUUAUGACGCCUCCCUUUCAAGGAGGAGAUCACGAGUUCAAUUCUCGUCCGGGCUA
rnacentral:tRNA from 1 species